rnacentral:rRNA from 1 species
GAUGAACGCUGGCGGCGUGCCUAAUACAUGCAAGUCGAGCGAACAGACGAGGAGCUUGCUCCUCUGACGUUAGCAGCGGACGGGUGAGUAACACGUGGAUAACCUACCUAUAAGACUGGGAUAACUUCGGGAAACCGGAGCUAAUACCGGAUAAUAUAUUGAACCGCAUGGUUCAAUAGUGAAAGACGGUUUUGCUGUCACUUAUAGAUGGAUCCGCGCCGCAUUAGCUAGUUGGUAAGGUAACGGCUUACCAAGGCAACGAUGCGUAGCCGACCUGAGAGGGUGAUCGGCCACACUGGAACUGAGACACGGUCCAGACUCCUACGGGAGGCAGCAGUAGGGAAUCUUCCGCAAUGGGCGAAAGCCUGACGGAGCAACGCCGCGUGAGCGAUGAAGGUCUUCGGAUCGUAAAACUCUGUUAUUAGGGAAGAACAAAUGUGUAAGUAACUAUGCACGUCUUGACGGUACCUAAUCAGAAAGCCACGGCUAACUACGUG